GUGCCAGCAGCCGCGGUGAUACACUAGGGUGCAAGCGUUAAUCGGAAUUACUGGGCGUAAAGGGAGCGUAGGUGGCUCGAUAAGUCAGAUGUGAAAUCCCCGGGCUCAACCUGGGAACUGCAUCUGAUACUGUUGAGCUAGAGUAUGUGAGAGGAAGGUAGAAUUCCAGGUGUAGCGGUGAAAUGCGUAGAGAUCUGGAGGAAUACCGAUGGCGAAGGCAGCCUUCUGGCAUAAUACUGACACUGAGGCUCGAAAGCGUGGGUAGCAAACAGGAUUAGAUACCCUGGUAGUCCACGCCGUAAACGAUGUCUACUAGUCGUUGGGUCCCUUGAGGACUUAGUGACGCAGCUAACGCAAUAAGUAGACCGCCUGGGGAGUACGGCCGCAAGGUUAAAACUCAAAUGAAUUGACGGGGGCCCGCACAAGCGGUGGAGCAUGUGGUUUAAUUCGAUGCAACGCGAAGAACCUUACCUGGUCUUGACAUAUCUAGAAUCCUGCAGAGAUGCGGGAGUGCCUUCGGGAAUUAGAAUACAGGUGCUGCAUGGCUGUCGUCAGCUCGUGUCGUGAGAUGUUGGGUUAAGUCCCGCAACGAGCGCAACCCUUGUCCUUAGUUACCAGCGGGUUAAGCCGGGAACUCUAAGGAUACUGCCAGUGACAAACUGGAGGAAGGCGGGGACGACGUCAAGUCAUCAUGGCCCUUACGACCAGGGCUACACACGUGCUACAAUGGUAGGUACAGAGGGCAGCUACACAGCGAUGUGAUGCGAAUCUCAAAAAGCCUAUCGUAGUCCAGAUUGGAGUCUGCAACUCGACUCCAUGAAGUAGGAAUCGCUAGUAAUCGCGGAUCAGAAUGCCGCGGUGAAUACGUUCCCGGGCCUUGUACACACCGCCCGUCACACCAUGGGAGUUGAUUGCACCAGAAGUGGAUAGCUUAACCUUCGGGGGAGCGUUCACCACGGUGUGGUUGAUGACUGGGGUGAAGUCGUAACAAGGUAACCG
rnacentral:rRNA from 1 species